UACGUAGGCAGCGAGCGUUGUUCGGAGUUACUGGGCGUAAAGGGUGUGUAGGCGGUUCGGUAAGUCUGGUGUGAAAUCUCCCGGCUCAACUGGGAGGGUGCGCCGGAAACUGCCAAACUAGAGUGCGGGAGAGGAAAGUGGAAUUCCUGGUGUAGCGGUGAAAUGCGUAGAGAUCGGAAAGAACACCAACGGCGAAAGCACUCUGCUGGGCCGACACUGACACUGAGAGACGAAAGCUAGGGGAGCGAAUGGG
rnacentral:rRNA from 1 species